rnacentral:rRNA from 1 species
UACGGGGGGAGCAAGCGUUGUUCGGAUUUACUGGGCGUAAAGAGCGCGCAGGCGGUCGUGCAAGUCGCGUGUGAAAGCCCCCGGCUCAACUGGGGAGGGUCACGCGAUACUGAUCGACUCGAAGGCAGGAGAGGGAGGUGGAAUUCCCGGUGUAGUGGUGAAAUGCGUAGAUAUCGGGAGGAACACCAGUGGCGAAGGCGACUUCCUGGCCUGUUCUUGACGCUGAGGCGCGAAAGCUAGGGGAGCAAACGGG